CCUACGGGCGGCAGCAGUAGGGAAUCUUUCACAAUGGGCGAAAGCCUGAUGGAGCAACGCCGCGUGCAGGAUGAAGGCCUUCGGGUUGUAAACUGCUUUUAUAAGCGAGAAAUAUGAUGGUAACUUAUGAAUAAGGAUCGGCUAACUACGUGCCAGCAGCCGCGGUCAUACGUAGGAUCCGAGCAUUAUCCGGAGUGACUGGGUGUAAAGAGUUGCGUAGGUGGCAUAAUAAGUAGCUGGUGAAAUCUGGUGGCUCAACCAUUCAGACUAUUAGGUAAACUGUUAAGCUCGAGACCGUUAGGGGUAACUGGAAUUUCUAGUGUAGGAGUGAAAUGCGUAGAUAUUAGAAAGAACACCAAUAGCGUAGGCAGGUUACUGGGACGGUUCUGACACUAAGGCACGAAAGCGUAGGGAGCAAACGGGAUUAGAUACCCUUGUAGUC
rnacentral:rRNA from 1 species